rnacentral:rRNA from 1 species
GACGAACGCUGGCGGCGUGCCUAAUACAUGCAAGUAGAACGCUGAAGGAGGAGCUUGCUCUUCUGGAUGAGUUGCGAACGGGUGAGUAACGCGUAGGUAACCUGCCUGGUAGCGGGGGAUAACUAUUGGAAACGAUAGCUAAUACCGCAUAACAGUAGAUGUUGCAUGACAUUUGCUUAAAAGGUGCAAUUGCACCACUACCAGAUGGACCUGCGUUGUAUUAGCUAGUUGGUGGGGUAACUGCUCACCAAGGCGACGAUACAUAGCCGACCUGAGAGGGGGAUCGGCCACACUGGGACUGAGACACGGCCCAGACUCCUACGGGAGGCAGCAGUAGGGAAUCUUCGGCAAUGGACGGAAGUCUGACCGAGCAACGCCGCGUGAGUGAAGAAGGUUUUCGGAUCGUAAAGCUCUGUUGUAAGAGAAGAACGAGUGUGAGAGUGGAAAGUUCACACUGUGACGGUAUCUUACCAGAAAGGGACGGCUAACUACGUG